rnacentral:rRNA from 1 species
AUUGAACGCUGGCGGCAGGCCUAACACAUGCAAGUCGAGCGAGCGGCGGACGGGUGAGUAAUGUAUGGGGAACUGCCUGAUAGAGGGGGAUAACUACUGGAAACGGUGGCUAAUACCGCAUACUAUCGGAUGUACCCAUAUGGGAUUAGCUAGUAGGUGGGGUAAAGGCUCACCUAGGCGACGAUCCCUAGCUGGUCUGAGAGGAUGACCAGCCACACUGGGACUGAGACACGGUCCAGACUCCUACGGGAGGCAGCAGUGGGGAAUAUUGGGCAAUGGGCGAAAGUCUGACGGAGCAACGCCGCGUGAGUGAAGAAGGUUUUCGGAUUGUAAAGCACUGUUAUCGGAGAAGCGGUAUCUGACCAGGAAGCCACGGCUAACUCCGUGCCAGCAGCCGCGGUAAUAC